rnacentral:tRNA from 2 species
GGAUGGUUUCCCGAGUGGCCAAAGGGGACAGACUGUAAAUCUGCUGGCAAUGCCUUCGGUGGUUCGAAUCCACCACCAUCCA